rnacentral:lncRNA from 1 species
GGAGAGAUGGGGAGUAAAGAUUUAGCCAAGAAUUCAUCGUUCAAGCCAAGAUAUAUCAGACUAACUGGCUUAUUGAAGGAAAAGACAACUUAUAAAAAGGUGUAACAUGACCAACCUCUAGCAUUCAGAUUUUUUAGAUUUGACUCUAGCUUUUCUCCAUCGUUUGCUUCUUCUGGAAUAUCAAAAACAAAAUCAAAAACAAACAGAGAGACCCAGUCAGGAUUUCAUUUGGUCUAGUUCCAAUUCCCAUUAGAUACCGAAGGUAAUCUUGUUAUGUCCUUACGAGGCUCAGUUUUUUCUUAUACAGGCCCAGUUACCUGAAUCUAUAAAAAUAAUUCGUUCAAAAAGAUGUCCAGUACCUGAGUCUUCUUCAGCGUCUGACGCAUUUUCUUCUUCAUUUUCUGCUAAUGGCUCGCCAUCCUCAUCUCUCAAACUAUCAACAGUUGGUUCCAGC